ACGUAGGCAGCAAGCGUUGUUCGGAGUUACUGGGCGUAAAGAGUAUGUAGGCGGUUGGGUAAGUUUGGUGUGAAAUCUCCCGGCUUAACUGGGAGGGUGCGCUAAAGACUGCCUGGCUCGAGUGUGGGAGAGGAAAGCGGAAUUCCUGGUGUAGCGGUGAAAUGCGUAGAUAUCAGGAGGAACACCUGCGGUGUAGACGGCUUUCUGGACCAUAACUGACGCUGAGAUACGAAAGCGUGGGUAGCAAACAGGA
rnacentral:rRNA from 1 species